rnacentral:rRNA from 1 species
CCCGGUGAUUAUAGUAGAGGGGACACACCCGUUUCCAUUCCGAACACGACCGUUAAGCCCUCUUACGCCGAUGGUACUAACCUGCGCGGUUGGGAGAGUAGGAAGUUGCCGGGU